rnacentral:rRNA from 1 species
CCUACGGGUGGCAGCAGUGAGGAAUAUUGGUCAAUGGACGAGAGUCUGAACCAGCCAAGUAGCGUGAAGGAUGACUGCCCUAUGGGUUGUAAACUUCUUUUAUAUGGGAAUAAAAUGUUCCACGUGUGGGCUUUUGUAUGUACCAUAUGAAUAAGGAUCGGCUAACUCCGUGCCAGCAGCCGCGGUAAUACGGAGGAUCCGAGCGUUAUCCGGAUUUAUUGGGUUUAAAGGGUGCGUAGGUGGAUUGUUAAGUCAGUUGUGAAAGUUUGCGGCGCAACCGUAAAAUUGCAGUUGAAACUGGCAGUCUUGAGUACAGUAGAGGUGGGCGGAAUUCGUGGUGUAGCGGUGAAAUGCUUAGAUAUCACGAAGAACUCCGAUUGCGAAGGCAGCUCACUGGACUGCAACUGACACUGAGGCUCGAAAGUGUGGGUAUCAAACAGGAUUAGAUACCCUGGUAGUC